UACGAAGGGUGCAAACGUUGCUCGGAAUUAUUGGGCGUAAAGCGCACGUAGGCGGCUUAGCAAGUUGGAUGUGAAAUCCCUCGGCUCAACCAAGGAAGUGCAUCCAAAACUGCUGAGCUUGAGUACCUAAGAGGAUCGCGGAAUUCCUGGUGUAGCGGUGGAAUGCGCAGAUAUCAGGAGGAACACCGAUGGCGAAGGCAGAUCUCUGGGCCGUAACUGACGCUGAGGAGCGAAAGCAUGGGGAGCGAACAGG
rnacentral:rRNA from 1 species